GUAGCAAUACAUCACCGGCGGACGGGUGCGUAACACGUGGGAAUAUACCUUUUGGUUCGGAACAACGCAGGGAAACUUGCGCUAAUACCGAAUGUGCCCUUACGGGGAAAGAUUUAUCGCCAAAGGAUUAGCCCGCGUCCGAUUAGCUAGUUGGUGAGGUAACGGCUCACCAAGGCUCCGAUCGGUAGCUGUUCUGAGAGGAAGAUCAGCCACACUGGGACUGAGACACGGCCCAGACUCCUACGGGAGGCAGCAGUUGGGAAUCUUGGACAAUGGGGGAAACCCUGAUCCAGCCAUGCCGCGUGAGUGAUGAAGGCCUUCGGG
rnacentral:rRNA from 1 species